rnacentral:tRNA from 1 species
AGGGUAAUAGCUCAGUGGUAGAGCACCUGCUUAACAUGCACAAUGUCUGGGUUCAAUCCCUAGUACCUCCA